rnacentral:rRNA from 1 species
ACGUAGGAGGCGAACGUUAUCCGGAUUUACUGGGCGUAAAGCGCGUGUAGGUGGUUCUGUAAGUAGGGCGUGAAAGCUCCUGGCUCAACUGGGAGAGGCCGUUCUAAACUACAGAACUAGAGGAUGGUAGAGGGAGGUGGAAUUCCAGGUGUAGCGGUGGAAUGCGCAGAUAUCUGGAGGAACCCCAGUGGCGAGGGCAGCCGCCUGGACAACUCCUGACACUAAGACGCGAUAGCGAGGGUAGCAAACGG